rnacentral:rRNA from 1 species
UGCAAGUCGUACGCUUCUUUUUCCACCGGAGCUUGCUCCACCGGAAAAAGAAGAGUGGCGAACGGGUGAGUAACACGUGGGUAACCUGCCCAUCAGAAGGGGAUAACACUUGGAAACAGGUGCUAAUACCGUAUAACAAUCGAAACCGCAUGGUUUUGAUUUGAAAGGCGCUUUCGGGUGUCGCUGAUGGAUGGACCCGCGGUGCAUUAGCUAGUUGGUGAGGUAACGGCUCACCAAGGCCACGAUGCAUAGCCGACCUGAGAGGGUGAUCGGCCACAUUGGGACUGAGACACGGCCCAAACUCCUACGGGAGGCAGCAGUAGGGAAUCUUCGGCAAUGGACGAAAGUCUGACCGAGCAACGCCGCGUGAGUGAAGAAGGUUUUCGGAUCGUAAAACUCUGUUGUUAGAGAAGAACAAGGAUGAGAGUAACUGUUCAUCCCUUGACGGUAUCUAACCAGAAAGCCACGGCUAACUACGUGCCAGCAGCCGCGGUAAUACGUAGGUGGCAAGCGUUGUCCGGAUUUAUUGGGCGUAAAGCGAGCGCAGGCGGUUUCUUAAGUCUGAUGUGAAAGCCCCCGGCUCAACCGGGGAGGGUCAUUGGAAACUGGGAGACUUGAGUGCAGAAGAGGAGAGUGGAAUUCCAUGUGUAGCGGUGAAAUGCGUAGAUAUAUGGAGGAACACCAGUGGCGAAGGCGGCUCUCUGGUCUGUAACUGACGCUGAGGCUCGAAAGCGUGGGGAGCAAACAGGAUUAGAUACCCUGGUAGUCCACGCCGUAAACGAUGAGUGCUAAGUGUUGGAGGGUUUCCGCCCUUCAGUGCUGCAGCUAACGCAUUAAGCACUCCGCCUGGGGAGUACGACCGCAAGGUUGAAACUCAAAGGAAUUGACGGGGGCCCGCACAAGCGGUGGAGCAUGUGGUUUAAUUCGAAGCAACGCGAAGAACCUUACCAGGUCUUGACAUCCUUUGACCACUCUAGAGAUAGAGCUUCCCCUUCGGGGGCAAAGUGACAGGUGGUGCAUGGUUGUCGUCAGCUCGUGUCGUGAGAUGUUGGGUUAAGUCCCGCAACGAGCGCAACCCUUAUUGUUAGUUGCCAUCAUUUAGUUGGGCACUCUAGCAAGACUGCCGGUGACAAACCGGAGGAAGGUGGGGAUGACGUCAAAUCAUCAUGCCCCUUAUGACCUGGGCUACACACGUGCUACAAUGGGAAGUACAACGAGUCGCGAAGUCGCGAGGCUAAGCUAAUCUCUUAAAGCUUCUCUCAGUUCGGAUUGUAGGCUGCAACUCGCCUACA